AAACACUUUCUGAAAAUGUUAGAACUCUUAUAACACGGAUGAGGAAAAGCAUAAGGACUCUUUAUCUUGUCUUAUGAAUUUUAAAAGAUAUAUUUUAAAGACUGAAACUCCCACAUCUAGACAGUGUAACUCCUUAGAAAACAUUAUUCUUUGAUAUCAAUACGUUUUUCACAAAAUUGAAUGGCAAGUAAAAGACUUCACACACACAUUUAACUAUCAGGCUGUUUUGGAGAUUGAAAAGCGUUGAUUCAUCAUGUGCAAUAUCUCACACAUCUGUCAUUUC